UACAGAGGUCCCAAGCGUUGUUCGGAAUCACUGGGCGUAAAGGGUGCGUAGGCGGGUCUUUAAGUCAGGGGUGAAAUCCUGGAGCUCAACUCCAGAACUGCCUUUGAUACUGGCGAUCUCGAGUCCGGGAGAGGUGAGUGGAACUGCGAGUGUAGAGGUGAAAUUCGUAGAUAUUCGCAAGAACACCAGUGGCGAAGGCGGCUCACUGGCCCGGUACUGACGCUGAGGUGCGAAAGCGUGGGGAGCAAACAGG
rnacentral:rRNA from 1 species